UUAAACAGUGUUAUAUCAGAAAGCAUUUAGUCAAAUCUGAAUGAGUGAGUGUUGAGAAGAGCUGAGGAUCUUCUAAUAUCAGUGUGUUGAAGUGUUGUUUCUCUCUCUCUGCUGGAGUGUGUGUUCACUCGAGUGGAAUAGAGGUUUUAGUACGAGCGUUUCAUUAGAUUGUAUCACUGUGGUACACAUUCGGUGGAGGAACUAAACUGGUGAUCGCUGGUCCCACAGUGAAGCCCUCAGUGUCUCUGCUGCCGCCCUCUUCUCUGCAGAUCUCUGGAGACUCAGCCGCACUGCUCUGCCUGCUCAGCUCUUACUCUCCACAGGGGGCGCUGGUGAGCUGGACACUGGACGGGUCAGAGGUCACCGAGGGGGUUCUGACCAGCGCAGAGAGCCAGCAGGACGGCCGCUACAGCCGCAGUAGCGUCCUGACCCUCAGCAAAGCACGCUGGGAAGAGGGAGAGCUGUACGUCUGCAGAGUAACACAUGAUGGAGCUCCUCAUGAGGUCUCGUUCCACAAGAGCUCUGAGUGCUGAUGUUUCUCUCCUGAAGAUGAGCCGUAUCUGAGUGUCCUGUGUCAGGCAGGAUUCACAUGAGUCUAGUGCUGCAGCUGUAGUGCUUUACAACUCCAUACUGAGUGUGUGUGUGUGUGUGUGUGUGUGUGUGUGUGUGUGUGUGUGUGUGUGUGUGCGUGUGUGUGUGUGUGUGUGUGAUCUUUCAAUCUGCUGUGUUUGCUGCAACAUUCAAUAAAGCUUCUCAACAAGUU